rnacentral:misc_RNA from 1 species
UCCUGGUUAACCCAGGCAGUCUCAUUAGAGUUCCCAUCCGAAAUGUUGGCAACUAAUGAUAAGGGUUGCGCUCGUUGCGGGACUUAACCCAACACCUCACGGCACGAGCUGACGACAGCCAUGCAGCACCUGUGCAGCGGCCCCGAAGGGAGACUCUAUUUCUAGAGCUGUCCACUGCAUGUCAAGUCUGGGUAAGGUUCUUCGCGUUGCAUCGAAUUAAACCACAUGCUCCACUGCUUGUGCGGGUCCCCGUCAAUUCUUUUGAGUUUCAGCCUUGCGACUGUACUCCCCAGGCGGUAUACUUAACGCGUUAGCUUCGGCACAGUUGGGGUUGAGUCCAACUACACCAAGUAUACAUCGUUUACGGCAAGGACUAC